rnacentral:rRNA from 1 species
UCCGACGGUGAGAGGCGAAAGCGUGGGGAGCGAACAGGCUUAGAUACCCUGGUAGUCCACGCUGUAAACGGUGGGUACUAGGUGUGGGGUCCAUUCCACGGGUUCCGUGCCGUAGCUAACGCUUUAAGUACCCCGCCUGGGGAGUACGGCCGCAAGGCUAAAACUCAAAGGAAUUGACGGGGCCCCGCACAAGCGGCGGAGCAUGCGGAUUAAUUCGAUGCAACGCGUAGAACCUUACCUGGGUUUGACAUGGAUCGGGAGUGCUCAGAGAUGGGUGUGCCUCUUUUGGGGUCGGUUCACAGGUGGUGCAUGGCUGUCGUCAGCUCGUGUCGUGAGAUAUUGGGUUAAGUCCCGCAACGAGCGCAACCCUUGUUCACUGUUGCCAGCACGUUAUGGUGGGGACUCAGUGGAGACCGCCGGGGUCAACUCGGAGGAAGGUGGGGAUGACGUCAAGUCAUCAUGCCCCUUAUGUCCAGGGCUUCACGCAUGCUACAAUGGCUGGUACAGAGAGUGGCGAGCCUGUGAGGGUGAGCGAAUCUCGGAAAGCCGGUCUCAGUUCGGAUUGGGGUCUGCAACUCGACCUCAUGAGGUCGGAGUCGCUAGUAAUCGCAGAUCAGCAACGCUGCGGUGAAUACGUUCCCGGGGCUUGCACACACCGCCCGU